GCUGUUCUCGCGAGUCCUUCCGUAUAACAAUGACCUCGUAUGUGAUUGGAGGAGCUAUACUCAGAAGAACUUUAUCUCCAGUUCCUUUGUUUGGAUUUUGCUGGUACGUGAUCAAUGGCUGGACGACGUCUCGCGUUCAACUCGCCUUCAACUCCUCUUGGACGCGAUGGCGACUCUGCAGUCGAACAACUGUGCGGGAGAGACGAACUCAAAGAAGAGAAGCUAGCGGUAAAUAUGUGUUCGAUUACUGCUAGCUAAGCUAAAAGCUAAAGCUACGGCUAAUAGUAGCCUUGCAAGAACAAGCUUUAUUAAAGUGUAUUUUUUGUGAUUCACAGGAAGCAGUACGCCGUCUUCACAACUCGGAGGCAAAUUGCAGGCGCUAUGAACCGGAGCAAGGCUGCCUGUAAGACGUAUUAUGAGACGGUACGCAGGAGCUUCAGAUAUACGCAGCCUGAGAACACGUUGCGCGCGGAAGCUGCCAAGCAUUCAGAAAAGAAAGAGACUGCUGGAAUCGAGGCAGAGUGUGCUAGCUCAUGAGGAAGUGGAACUCUGGA